UUUGGCUGGGGUUCAGCUGUGUUUAGUGAGUGGAAGAGAGUCGACACAUUAAAAUGACUACACAUCAGCUGGACUGAAACAGGCUCACUGCACCAGGUACUGCGGAAUCCCUGGCAGGACAUUUAUCAAGACAACGGCGUGAUGCUUUACAGGGCCAACACAACUCUUCAGCAAACCUUUUCCUCGUUGACUGAUUCUGCCUGGAGUCUAGCACGUUCAAAUGUGCUAGUAUGUAGAAUUCUCUCUCCCACUGCCCCCUCUCCCAUCACCUCUGUGCACAAGCACUGUUGCUGAUUGGCUGAAACAAUGUUGUGUGAAUUGCAGGAAUUCUAUUAUGCAGUAUAUAGUAGUUGAAAACUACAUUAAAAUAUGAGUUAUGGAAUCACAGAAUGAUGUACUUUGGUUUCUUAUUUGACAGUUAAUGUUACUAAUGUCCAUAGACUAACAGUUCAGUUAACAUUUUGAGUUCCAUAGAAAUCCUGUUUUAAUGUGUAUCUGUAUGUGUUAGACAAUUAAUUGUUCUUCAAAUACACUAGUUGACCUUUUCCUUAAAGACUAAUACAGCUUGUAUUUGAAGGAGUGCA